GGGCCCGCACAAGCGGUGGAGCAUGUGGUUUAAUUCGAUGCAACGCGAAGAACCUUACCAGGACUUGACAUACUACAAAUUCUUUUGAGAAAAAGAAGUGCCUUCGGGAAUGUAGAUACAGGUGGUGCAUGGCUGUCGUCAGCUCGUGUCGUGAGAUGUUGGGUUAAGUCCCGCAACGAGCGCAACCCUUAUCUUCAGUUGCCAUCAGGUUAUGCUGGGCACUCUGAAGAAACUGCCGGUGAUAAGCCGGAGGAAGGCGGGGAUGACGUCAAGUCCUCAUGGCCCUUAUGACCUGGGCUACACACGUGCUACAAUGGCAGUGACAAUGAGCAGCGAUAGCGCGAGCUUCAGCUAACCUCAAAAACCUGUCUCAGUUCGGAUUGAACUCUGCAACUCGAGUUCAUGAAGUCGGAAUCGCUAGUAAUCG
rnacentral:rRNA from 1 species